rnacentral:rRNA from 1 species
CGCGUAGGUGGUUGAGUCAGUCAGAUGUGAAAGCCCCGGGCUUAACCUGGGAACUGCACCUGAUACUGCUUGACUAGAGUACGGUAGAGGGCAGUGGAAUUUCCUGUGUAGCGGUGAAAUGCGUAGAUAUCUGGAAGAACACCAGUAGCGAAGGCGACUUUCUGGUCUGAUACUGACGCUAAAGCGCGAAGGCUAGGGUAGCAAACA